rnacentral:lncRNA from 1 species
UGGGUAUCCACUCAGGAUCAAUCUGGAAUAGUCCUCUUAAAAUUAAUUUUUCUUCUUCAAAAAAAAUCAGCCUACAAAUCUGAACGAAGUCUGAAUCGCGAUCAACUCUUUGAUCUUUUUCUUGAUCUUCUUCUUCUCUUCUCCUCUUACUUUUCUUCUCUUAAUUAUGUUGCUACCAGGGACUAGAAACUAGCACAAAAGGUGGAUGCCCA